CCCCCGGCGGCCGCCUCUGCACCAGUCGCCAACCUCCGCGGCGGGCCGAGGUCAUGCCCGCCUGCCCCCGGCGCCGGCGAGGCCCCCUCCCUGUGCCAGGCGGCAAGCCGGAGAUGCGCCGGCAGGGAAGGGGGAUCGGCGGCAGAGUUGGCACCCGGACUCACCAGGGAAAACAGGAACAAACCUCUUCUUGUCCUAGUUAAGACACAGGUGACAGACUGAAGACAUGAGUCAAUCCAAGUGUAUACAGCAUGGUAACCAUUGCUGCAAUGAGUUCCUGAGUGCAAGGCCGUGUCAUGUCAGAAGACAGAACUUCACAGCAUGCCUCCCCAUCCUCAGCCUCUUAAAUUCUUUCCAUCCCUUCUUCUGUGAUGUUUCCUGAGCCUUGUGGGGCAGGGGGAAUGGAUAUGGAUGUUCCAUUUAGAGAAAAAAAGCUGAAAAGUCACUUACUCUGACCAGUUAUGUGCCUCAGCAUCAGCUGCUGACCGUUACAGAAUGAAGCCUCUCUGGCCAAAGAUGUGGGCAGGGCUAAUCUAUAAGCCCUGCCUUUCUUAAGUUUUUUUUUUUUUUUUCAAAUUCUUUGUCAUAUCGAUGAAAACUAACUGAUGCAGAUGCGUAUCAAAGCAGUGGACUUUAAGAAUCACUGCCUGACAUCUCCCCAAGUCCCCCUUCUAAACUGCCCCACAGCAUUUAUAGACAGGUGGUAAAGAAAGGGAAAAGUAGUGAAGGAGAAAGGGAAUAACACAUCUUCGACUUUGGAUAAUAGGCAGGCAAGAUCAGGUUUCUCUGCCAAGAAUCCUGUGCCUCCAACUUUUUACACAUUAAACCUAAUCAGUU